AAGUCGUACGAAGAUAAAAUUGUGCUUGCACGAUUUUUUACUUAGUGGCGGACGGGUGAGUAACACGUAAGAAUCUACCUUUUGGCGAGGGACAACCACUGGAAACGGUGGCUAAUACCUCAUAUAACUGAGAAGUGAAAGAUGAAAAUCACCAAGAGAUGAGCUUGCGUCUGAUUAGCUAGUUGGUAAGGUAAAGGCUUACCAAGGCGACGACCAGUAGCAGGUCUGAGAGGAUGAUCAGCCACACUGGGACUGAGACACGGCCCAGACUCCUACGGGAGGCAGCAGUGAGGAAUUUUCCGCAAUGGGCGAAAGCCUGACGGAGCAAUACCGCGUGAAGGAUUAAGGCCUAUGGGUUGUAAACUUCUUUUCUCAGAGAAGAAUUUUGACGGUAUCUGAGGAAUAAGCAUCGGCUAACUCUGUGCCAGCAGCCGCGGUAAGACAGAGGAUGCAAGCGUUAUCCGGAUUAAUUGGGCGUAAAGCGUCUGUAGGUGGUUUAUCAAGUUUUUUGUCAAAGAUCGGGGCUUAACUCCGGGCAGGCAGAGAAAACUAGUAGACUUGAGUUCGGUAGGGGCAGAGGGAAUUCCCGGUGGAGCGGUGAAAUGCGUAGAGAUCGGGAGGAACACCAAAGGCGAAGGCACUCUGCUGGGCCGCAACUGACACUGAGAGACGAAAGCGAGGGUAGCAAAUGGGAUUAGAUACCCCAGUAGUCCUCGCCGUAAACGAUGGAUACUAGGUG
rnacentral:rRNA from 1 species